CCUCAUUUAUUUUGGAACUGCAGAUUACAGUGAUCAUGCUAAAACGUUUGUACAUUGACGUUUAGUUUCUUAUGCUUUAUUCAUAAAUAUAAUGAUAGUCUUUUUUCCCCUUCGAUUUCUGUCUUACAUGUUUGGCUUUGCUGUUUUUGUUUGUUUGUUUUUAUAGGUAUUAACUCACCAGGAGUUUAUUUUCGUUUGUUUGUUAUAUGGCUUAUUAUUCAUACCAUUCAUUUCAAGACAUGAAUUGUGAUUUAGUUGUUAUAACUAUAUAAUACAUUUAGCUCAACAUUUAAUUUUAGGCAGUAAUGCUUUAAAGUUGGAGUUUCUUAGAAAACAAGACUUAAGAAAUUGAUAUAAUUCACAAUGCUUUUUUAAAAAAUUGACUUUGUGUUGGUAGGUGUUGUCUACAUCUACUGGUCUUACAAAAACGGUGUACAAUCCAGCUGCUUUGAAGGCUGCACAAAAAACCUUACUAGUUUCUACCCCUGCAGUUGAUAAUAAUGAAGCACAGAAAAAGAAACAGGAGGCACUGAAACUUCAGCAGGAUGUAAGAAAAAGGAAGCAAGAAAUUUUAGAAAAGCACAUUGAAACACAGAAGAUGCUAAUUUCAAAACUAGAAAAAAACAAAACCAUGAAAUCUGAAGAUAAAGCAGAA
rnacentral:lncRNA from 1 species